rnacentral:rRNA from 1 species
AGUACGUGAAACUGCUUAGAGGUUAAACCCGAUGAACCUGAAUAUCCGUUAUGGAAAAUUCAUCAUUAAUACUAUGUUAUUUUAUUAUUACCAUAGAUAUAGUGUGCAAUUUUUCCAUAUAAGGACAUUGUAAUCUGUUAAUGUUAUAAAUAUUUAUUAAAAGAUCUUUUACUUAAGUUUAUUCAAAUUAAUUAUUUUCGGAUUUUUAACAUAGAAUAAUUGUAUUAGAUUUAAUAAAUCAUUGACAGAUUUAAUUAUAUAAGGUGCUUAAAUUUAAAUGAAAUUUUACAAUGUUAAAUAAAUCUAAGAUUUAUUUUUUUAUAUUGUAUGCACUUUUAUGAUUAACAAUGCGAUAGAUUCAGGAUACCUUCGGGACCCGUCUUGAAACACGGACCAAGGAGUCUAACAUAUGUGCAAGUCAUUGGGUAUUUUAUAUAAAACCUAUUGGCAUAAUUAACUUAACUGUUUAAUUGGGAUUAGUUUAUAUUUUAUUAUGAAAUAUGAAUUCAAUCCCGGGGCGUUCUAUAUAGUUAUACAUAAUAGUAUUUAUAUUAU